rnacentral:rRNA from 1 species
UUGAACGCUGGCGGCAGGCCUAACACAUGCAAGUCGAACGGUAACAGGAAGCAGCUUGCUGCUUCGCUGACGAGUGGCGGACGGGUGAGUAAUGUCUGGGAAACUGCCUGAUGGAGGGGGAUAACUACUGGAAACGGUAGCUAAUACCGCAUAACGUCGCAAGACCAAAGAGGGGGACCUUCGGGCCUCUUGCCAUCGGAUGUGCCCAGAUGGGAUUAGCUAGUAGGUGGGGUAACGGCUCACCUAGGCGACGAUCCCUAGCUGGUCUGAGAGGAUGACCAGCCACACUGGAACUGAGACACGGUCCAGACUCCUACGGGAGGCAGCAGUGGGGAAUAUUGCACAAUGGGCGCAAGCCUGAUGCAGCCAUGCCGCGUGUAUGAAGAAGGCCUUCGGGUUGUAAAGUACUUUCAGCGGGGAGGAAGGGAGUAAAGUUAAUACCUUUGCUCAUUGACGUUACCCGCAGAAGAAGCACCGGCUAACUCCGUGCCAGCAGCCGCGGUAAUACGGAGGGUGCAAGCGUUAAUCGGAAUUACUGGGCGUAAAGCGCACGCAGGCGGUUUGUUAAGUCAGAUGUGAAAUCCCCGGGCUCAACCUGGGAACUGCAUCUGAUACUGGCAAGCUUGAGUCUCGUAGAGGGGGGUAGAAUUCCAGGUGUAGCGGUGAAAUGCGUAGAGAUCUGGAGGAAUACCGGUGGCGAAGGCGGCCCCCUGGACGAAGACUGACGCUCAGGUGCGAAAGCGUGGGGAGCAAACAGGAUUAGAUACCCUGGUAGUCCACGCCGUAAACGAUGUCGACUUGGAGGUUGUGCCCUUGAGGCGUGGCUUCCGGAGCUAACGCGUUAAGUCGACCGCCUGGGGAGUACGGCCGCAAGGUUAAAACUCAAAUGAAUUGACGGGGGCCCGCACAAGCGGUGGAGCAUGUGGUUUAAUUCGAUGCAACGCGAAGAACCUUACCUGGUCUUGACAUCCACAGAACUUUCCAGAGAUGGAUUGGUGCCUUCGGGAACUGUGAGACAGGUGCUGCAUGGCUGUCGUCAGCUCGUGUUGUGAAAUGUUGGGUUAAGUCCCGCAACGAGCGCAACCCUUGUGAUAUGUUACUAACAUUGAGUUGAGGACUCAUAUCAGACUGCCGGUGAUAAACCGGAGGAAGGUGGGGAUGACGUCAAAUCAUCAUGCCCCUUAUGGGCAGGGCUACACACGUGCUACAAUGGCGCAUACAAAGAGAAGCGACCUCGCGAGAGCAAGCGGACCUCAUAAAGUGCGUCGUAGUCCGGAUUGGAGUCUGCAACUCGACUCCAUGAAGUCGGAAUCGCUAGUAAUCGUGGAUCAGAAUGCCACGGUGAAUACGUUCCCGGGCCUUGUACACACCGCCCGUCACACCAUGGGAGUUGGUAACGCCCGAAGUCAGUGACCCAACCGCAAGGAGGGAGCUGCCGAAGGCGGGACCGAUAACUGGGGUG